GGGCGGGGAGGCGCGGUGGGGAGGCGGGGCCUGCACGUCAGUCCGUAGCCCCACCUCCAGCGGAAGUGCUGCUGGGCCCGCCCCUCCUUCCCCAGCCCUGUUCCCUUAGUCCCUCCCCGGGCCGGAUCUCCCCAGUGAAAUUCGGCUCCGCUAGCCCGUUCGGUCGGGGCCCCAGCAUCGGGUCCACACAGACGCACCUGGGCGCCUCUGGCUCUCUCGGGUGUUGCUCUCUGACCCACCCACUCUCCCGCCCUCCCUACCAUAUCUUUGUUAUCUGCGCGGCCGCAGGCGCGGCUGGGGACCCCACAGGUGGCUUCAGUCUGGAUCCAGUCCUCGGAGAGGGACCCAAAAUAUCUCCUGGUGUAGAGGCAGGAGACCGGGGCUAGUCUUGCACCCCAAACCGCGCAACAACACCCCUCUCCCCACCGUGGCGGCGCGCUGUCGCGACAGGAGAGAAGCCCCAGGGCGCGCUCAGCUUCCAAACACGGCUUUGCCCCGCGCUCCAUCCUCUGGCCUUUAGGGAGAUGUCCCCCCUCCACCGAUAUUUCCCCGGUUCACCACCCCCACGCCCCGGGGGGCCGCGCCUUCUCCCCUCCCCCGCGCUCUCUGGCGCUUUAAAUAAUGAUAUUUGCAUGCAAGGAGCGAUUCAUAAAUAUGUCAGGGCCGGUGAAAUAUAGGCAACAUUUCAAACUUUCUAUUUAAAAAACAUGAAUUAUGGCCGCGGAAAAUGUGUUCCCAUUUAAAGGCGAUACGAAGUAUUUGGUGUCUCGUCCCCGGGCCCAUCCAUCACGCAGACAAUAAAGAGAGUUUUUCGCCCUGACACCCACGAUUUAUGGGCGCCCUUCUCUGCCCCCAUCACUCACCCGCCGCGGCCAGCCCGGCGACAGGCCCCGCGGCGAGACGAGCAGCCGCCCCCGCGCCAGUCCGCGCGCGCAAUUUUCCACCUUCGCCGGGCUCCCCAAAUCCGCAGCUCCCGGGGAAAAGUGCCGGCUGCCCCGAGCUGGGCGAUCGGCUCUGAGCGUCGGAAUAGCCAAGUGGGAACCCCACUCACCCUCCCACCCCGUGCCAACCUCUCCCAGCGCUGGGCCGAGCCGGCCCCUCUGUGUCCAGGCCUUGUCCGAGGAUGGCAGCGCAGAGCUGCAAGUUUGCAGCUCAGGCGGUGGGUGGUUAUUUAACCUCUUGUUCGAGGCGAGAGCAGAGAACUGGCCAGGGAGCUGCCCAGCCUGAUUCCUGAUUCUGUCCCAAGGAAGGAACAGGUCCUAAGGGUUUUUUUGACUUUAAUACGGUGACGCUUUUGAGGAAAGCUUUCUACAACUUUUCCAAAGCCAGCCCCCCUCCCGUUGCCCCCUAGCGAGAUCCAUGCUGGGUGUCCGUGGCAACUUGGAAACUUUUUCUUUCUUUCUUUUUACCAUCCAGAGCCGAAGAAUUGUGAAGAAAUAGGAGUGGAGUGGAGGGGUUCCCAAGAGUUUUCACCUUGGGCCAGGCUUGGGCACCCGGUUGCCCUCUUCCAGCCCACCCCACCCGAGAGCACUCACACAAGCCUGCUGUCUUCCCAAAGCUGUCAACAAUCUCGGUUGAAAACUUGCAUCGAGGAAAGUUCCGGCUACGCCUGCAGUAGAGUUUCCUUUCAGUUUUCGCUGCGGGCGGGCGGACUUGGCCUGGCUCGUUCCCCAGGCGUUAAGCAAAGUAAGGGCGCCCAGACACUGCUGGGCAGUGAGAGCCCGCUAGACCUGAGGGCACUGUUGGUGCAUCCGACCUCAGAGAUCAGGCCCGCCGCACCUGUACACUGGAGCCACCCCGCGCCCCCGGCUGGGCCGAGGUGUAACGUACAGUACUUGCCAGUGGAGAGCUGGUUCUGCUGGAUGCCUGAGAGUGGGCUUUAUUCGGAUAAAUUCAGUGCAAACGACUGCCAGAGAAAUCCGUCGAUUCUAAAAAUGACAAGGUUGAAUUUAUUAGAUGGAGAUUCACGUGUAAGUGCAGGGAGAUAAAAAAUUCUACAAACAGCCCCACAUCCAAUUCGAAUACUACUGAUCACUUCUGGCUUCAAGGGCAUCUAACAUAACAUAUCUGAAUACUUAGAUUUACAGAAGCAUAUAAAAUAUUCUUAAAUUCCCAGUGUAUGCACAGAUAAGUAAGUUGGAAAAAUUCUAGGGCAAGUAUCUUUUUACAGCCCCUGCUUGUGUGUCAUCUGGGCCUGAGAUAGAACUUAAUGUCCGAAUAACUACCCAGUGGAUAUUUCCUAUAGAUAGUUGAAGGGCAAAGUAUCUACAGCUCCUUAGAUAUCUGCAGCAUGGCAGAGAUGAAAUACAUACAGUUAAGAAAAGCAAACUCGCAGAAAAAUGAGCCACUGUGUCAAUAUAAUAUUUCUGGGUAUGGAAAUAAAUAUUCCUACAAGGUCAGCUGUGGACAGUGAAAUAAAACAGAGAGGCUUUUAGGAACCUUGUGUAUGGGACACCAGUUCUGCUGCUCAGUACCCCGAGCAGGCUGAGGUGGACACUAUUCAGCGGUGAUCUUGAACCCGGGUCUGAUGGUGGGACAGACUCGGCCUGGACUCUCAACACUGCUGCACUUUGGGGGUUCUCCUAGAUGCAGGCCAGAGAAAGACCUGGCAUUUAAGUAGCAGGGCCUGGGGUCCCGUGAGCAGCCUUUCCUUCCCAGACACUGCAGCCAGCCCUCAUCAGUCCUGGCUCCUGUGGCUUUGGCAGCGGGAGUUCAGAACUAUGGAUUUGGAGGAGGAGCGCAGAAAAGGGCUGGUCACGCUUGAUCCCAAGACGUUCCAAAGCCAGAAGUCAGAGGCCAAGGGGAGGAAGGCCACAAUUUUCCUGCGUGUGCAGAACCCAGACCCCAGCCGACCCUCCAGGCAUCAAUGAGAGGCCACCUAAACAGUUAUCGGGAUGUAUUUACUUAUGAAACCUUAGGCACCUCCUAGCAUGCCCAGUGCUAAAGUCCCUGUGCCCUGCGGGUCUCCUCCAUAUAUUUCCAAAGCUCAAGGAAUGCCAAUUGCGAGUUGUAACUGUGAAAUUCCAAGACCAAAUUCUAAUUCCAGAACAGGGCGCUUGCAACCGUCCACCCAUCGAACUGCCUGUGCCCGCACGCCCUCGCUCUCCCAAUUCCCCUUCGAAAUCUUGCAACCUUUAAACAUGGACUAGGAGCCCUGCUCAGGAAGAAAUUGGGGAGGACUUUGUCAUGAAAUCCUGAGAAUUGCACACUUCCGAGGCAACCCUGCCGCAGGAGAAAUAACCUCGGCCGAGAAUGCUCUAGGUACGGUGCAGACAGCGUCGCUGUGUAGGAGGUGGUUUACACGGUAUACCAAAGAAGGUGGUACAGGAAUGUUUCCUGCAAAUAGGGAAGGGGGGAAAGGAAAAGGAAAUGAAGUGGAACAGAAAGGAGAGGGAAAAGGCUUAGUGUAGGAGAGCCUAGAAGAGCGCAGGCCAAGGCCAGGUCUUCAGGACCAAGCCAGGCCACCGCUCUCGCACCUUUGGAGCCUCCCAGACCCCGAGAAAAGGCCGGGGCUGCGCGGGAUGGUCCCCUACGGCCCGGAGAAUCCGGGCCCCGCUCCUCGUGGAGUAAGGCGGGUCCUGUCCCUGGGCCUUCGAGCGCUCUUUCUCUCGUCCCUCCCCGGGGACUGCAAGGCGGAACCGGACGAGGGUGGGGAGGUCCCUGGGGGUGCGCGCCAGUCCGGGACUGUUUGGGUGCUCUGGGCCAGGCUUUCCAGCUCGCCGGGCCUGACCUGUCAGGCGGAUUAUCUUCGAGGGAGAUUAAUAGGGGAGGCGGGCUGCAAUAAUAAUCGUUUUGUUUGAUGUGACAACUCUGAUAGGCGUUGAUUUACUUACAAACUGAUAGGCUUUUAAUUGAGCGCCUCCGCCGAGCCCGAGAUGAAAGGAAAGCGGCGGUGAAAGGCGGCCCGCCUGCCCUCCGGCCUCAAUACUGAUUAGCCAUCUCGACAGUGAAUAGUUCAAGGCAUUUUCAAACUUUUUUCCUCAGCUCUCUCCCCUUCCUUCUCCUCCUCCCACCUCCUUCCUCAAAUAUCUGCCAUACUCACUCCUUUUUUAGAGAAAACAAAUCAUUUCCAUUGUGUGCAAAUAAAACCCGCAGGAUACCCAAGCCAGCCGCCGCUGGGGGUUGGAGGCAUUAGGCCCAGCAGAGUAAUUAAUAACCCCCACCACCCGGGCCGCGCUCGACCCUCGGGGAUUCGGCCUCCCGCACGAGGUGCGCAGGCUCGCACGCUGCACCUCCCAAGAG
ensembl:lncRNA